GACGAACGCUGGCGGCGUGCCUAAUACAUGCAAGUAGAACGCUGAAGGAGGAGCUUGCUUCUCUGGAUGAGUUGCGAACGGGUGAGUAACGCGUAGGUAACCUGCCUUGUAGCGGGGGAUAACUAUUGGAAACGAUAGCUAAUACCGCAUAAUAGCAGUUGUUGCAUGACAACUGUUUGAAAGGUGCAAUUGCACCACUACCAGACGGAGCUGCGUUGUAUUAGCUAGUUGGUGGGGUAACGGCUCACCAAGGCGACGAUACAUAGCCGACCUGAGAGGGGGAUCGGCCGCACUGGGACGGUGACACGGCCCAGACGCCUACGGGAGGCAGCAGUAGGGAAUCUUCGGCAAGGGACGGAAGUCUGACCGAGCAACGCCGCGGGAGUGAAGAAGGUUGUCGGAUCGUAAAGCUCUGUUGUAAGAGAAGAACGAGUGUGAGAGUGGAAAGUUCACACUGUGACGGUAGCUUACCAGAAAGGGACGGCUAACUACGUG
rnacentral:rRNA from 1 species